CCCUCCCUCUCAGCUUUCCCAUUGUAUCCAGAGGCUCUAUUUGGCAAUGACAGAGAUUCUCUAACUCUCUCAGAAUUAAAAUGCAAAGAGGAGCAAGGCUGCUUGCUGGCAGGAAGCCAGGGAGGGCCAGCGGGUCACCUAGUCCUCCACUGGGAGUCAUUCUUGGCAGGUUGUUUUUCAAUUUCCUUUGCUUGGGUUGUGGUGGAUUCUAGAGUCUUGUUUUCUUGUACGUGGGGAUGGUUUGAGAGCCUUUUGGGGGUGGUGGGGUGGGGACAGCAUUCGAUAUGCAUGGAUGAGCCUCAAGGCUUGCAAACUCCCAAAAGGUUUCAAAUAUAGCCUGUAUGAGGUACUGCAUGGCUGGCCCCCCUUCUGGCUUCUAACUGGAGACAAGAAAUCUGGCAUAAGGGUCGCAAGAGCCCGGAAGGAUUGACUUCCUGUUUGGAAGCUGUCACCUCAGCACGUGGCUUUCACGUUUCCAGCUGAGCCUCUGGACUAGUUUGAUCCUGUGUCCCUUCUACCUAUGCCUGGAGAGGCUGACAGCCAGGUAUGGGAUUCCUCCUGGAGCUGGAGUUACAUGGACUCAUGAGCUGACGGACCUGUACCGAGAACUCAAGCCCUCUGCAAGAACACUAAGUGAGCUUCACCACAAAGCCCACUUUAGCCCGCUGCCAUCAAGAUUUUAAGGAACUACUAGAUGAGUGUGCUUCUUCAGCUCUAAAGCUCAGGGUUAAGGCACAAGAAUCAGGAGUCCUGAGUAUGACAUGGAGGCUUCGGUUUUAGCCCUGAAAGUUAGGCGACUCUUAUUGGAGUUUCGCUGAUUUCCCCCUAACCAGAUCCAACAGGACCUCAAAGGAGGAGUAAAGGCUCUGGUUUGUUGGUGGUUAGUCACUUUCUGCUGCAAGCGCUAUGGCCCAGAUGAGUCAGGAUUCUCCAUCAUGUUUUGCAUACCUGACAUUUUAGUGUGCUCAGCAGCUGCUGUUCCUUUUCACUAACUGACUCCUCCAGCUGCUUCUCUGUCAUCUGGGAUUGCUGCAGCUGGCUGAGAAGGUACAACACCUAAGGAAAGAGAGAGGCAGCACGCGGUGGGGGUGGGGUGGGUAUCCCAGGAGUAAGGGGAAAGGAUGUUCUCUAGCUCAAGCCCUGGUCCAUGGAACUUCCUUGUGAGCUAAAGAGGAAGAAUGUCUUGUCUUUUCAUGGUCCAAAGUGAUAAGCCUAGGAGAGGUGUUAACCUCUCUGCAUGUUCACCUGAAACUUUGAGCCAGUGGUUAUGAGCCACUUAGACAAGUCUUUUUUGUUUCCGGUUACUUACUUGCAAAAUGUGGAAAAGACCACAUAAACUUUCGAAGGAAGCUUCAUGGGCCACUAGUGCCUGUUUAUUUUUCAAAUAGUGACAGGGUCCCAGUAUAGUCCAGAAUGGCUCUAAAUUUAAGAGCAUUCUUCUGCCUUACCUUCCCAGAGUGCUAGGCUUAUAGGCAUCAGCACCAUGAUAGGCAGCUUCUACCCCUUUUAAAAACUAACCAAGCACAGGCAGUGGCCGCCCAUGACUCGCCGUAACUCCUUCUCUUGCUCAGUUACCUUUUCUUGGUGCUGUUGCUCCACUUUGACCAGCUCUUCUUUUAACUCUGUCUCUAUCUUAGCAAAAUGAUUUUGCUCCUCAAACAGCAUCUUCUGCACGUCAAUACAGCUGGCCUUGCUCUGAUUCAGGCUGCUUUCUAGUUUGCUCACCAGUAUUUUGGAGGAGACGAGCUGAAAAGGUAAGAGAAAGGCAUUGCAUUUGCAGAAGGAUCUAUCUUCUCCCAUUCUUUGGGCACCUUUCUUGAAACAGUUUGAUAAAUGUGCUUCCAAGAAAGUCUAAGUCCACUCUCAUUUUCCCCCAUGUCAUGUGGAUUCUAAUAGUGAACUGAAACACUACUACUGGCUUUAAUUGUUUUUAUUUUUGGUGUACGUGAGUAUUUUCUGCAUGUAUAUCUGUAUACAAUAUGUCUGGUGCCUGCAGAGGCCUAAGGAGGGAUGUCAGAUCUCCUAGAACUAGACUUACAGAUGGUUGUGAGCCACCACAUGGGUGCUAGGAAUCAAAAGUGGGGUCACUGAACCAUCUCUCCAGCCCCUUAAAAGGACCAUUUCAUUCCUAGGCCAUAAGUUGAUAUUUAUGCAAAGACAGGGUAGAAGCCACAACUGGGUCAUUUAUCUGUUGCUCUGUUUCAAGGUAAGAAUAAACCUAACAUGGACAGUAUCUGACAAUUCCAAAAUUCUGAAACUUUUAAGUAGAUCUUAAAUUUUAAAGAGGAAUUCACAGGACCCAGCUUAUUAGCCAAUUCUGUCUCAGAAUCUCUGUUUACAUGUUAGAACUAAAUGGCUUCAAACUCAUUAAGAUCAGCCUGUCUCUGCCUCCCAAGUGCUGGGAUUACAGGUAUAUACCAACAUGCCUGGCAAAAACCUGGAAGUUUGAUUGCUGAAAUCAUAGAUCUUUCUAGAUAUACGUCUUUAGGCAAGACCGAUAGAUAUCCUGUACUGGCCUACUUUGAUUUUUAAUACUAGCCCAGAUAAUGAGCAGUAUUCCUAAGACUAGUUAGGAUUACUUAGCAGAAUAAGUCUGUUAGCCCAAGACAAGACUGUAUAAAGUGUUGCAAUGUGGAUCUGGGAACUGUAUCGCUUGAGUGAUUGCUUUGAUUCAUCUUCUGACAAUUUAUGAUGAACCCGUACAUUUAAGAUCAAUGAAGAAAGCUGGGUAUGGUGGCGCACGCCUUUAAUCUUAGCACUCUGGAGGCAGAGGCAGUCAAAUCUCUGGGAUCUUAGAGGCCAGCCUGGUCUACAUAGGGAGAUCCAGGACAGCAAAAGGCUACACAGAAACACUCAUGUCUCAAUAGAAACCAAAAAAAAAUCAAUUUUCCUUAAAAUGAAUCUAUCUAUCUAUCUAUCUAUCUAUCUAUCUAUCUAUUUAUCUAUCUAAUGAUUAAGUUUUCUCCUUGAGAGGGUGUCUCAAGUUUUUAAAUACACAUCCCAUACAUGUUUUUCAAGGUAGUACAAUACUUUAUGCUUAACCAGUAACAACUUCUGUUUUUUUUUUCCAGUAACAAUCAAUAGCUCACAUAAAUGUAUACUUGCUAUAUAUAUGUCAGGCAUGCUGACUAUCACAUUUCUGAUCUUCCUAAGUAAUUGGCUUGGACUUACUACUAACCACUGCUUACUCAUUAAAGGCUUCAGUGUUGGUAUCACUGGGGUUGCUACCAAGAAAAGUAGCUACAGCACUAAGAAAGUGUCCCUUUGCACCUCAUACUUCGAGCUCCCCUAGAGCUGUUGCUAAGAAGAAUGGUUUUACCUCUCCC